AGCACACCCAAAUCCUUGGACACUAUACAACUAUCCUUGGAAGUGAAUGGAUAUGCCUCUGAAGGCAAAGGAUCAAUGUGCAUGCCUUGUUUCCCACAGAAAUCAAAUUUGAGUGAUUAUAAUAUGCAUAUCCUUAGAGGAGGAGUUAGUGGACAACAGCAAAACAAAUUCUUCUGAAGUCUCUCCAAGGAAUACCAGGGUGAAGAAAGAGAUUGAUCAAGCAUUUGAAGUUGUGAAGGACUUAAAGAACAAAACUUCUUGAUGAGAUAAUUUGUGCUUGAGGAUCAACUUAGAUCAGCUCAAGGAAUGACAGCAGAAGUCUGAGAAAGCUCUGGAUCUUCAGACCAGUUGCUGCUACAAAGACUCACAGCUGGGGCAAUCACCUGGUUCCCCCCAGUGGUUCCUAGAGCGGAGGUAAAUCCUGCACAUAAAUUAUGAUAUCAUCUUCUCAAUCCCUCUGACUCAAUUUCCAUAUCUAUACAAUGAAAGUAAAAUAUGGGAGAGGUGAAGCUUGUUUUACAGAUACUCAUUAAUUUUGUAAAUGUACUUUAAAGACCCACAGAUGCUCAUUCUAAUGUUAUCAGGGAGGGUUCCUCAUUUGUGUUCCUCAUCUUGAACCAAGAGAUCACAGGGUGAAUGUUCAUAUAGUAUCUUUAAAAAAAAAAAAGGCAGAAGAUCAUCUAUGAAUUCCAAGAAGUAGAAACAGGAGAUUAGAUGGAUGGAUGGAUGGAUGGAUGGAUGGAUGGAUGGAUGGAUGGAUGGAUGGAUGGAUGGAUGGAUGGAUGGAUGGUUUGGCUGGUAAUGUUGGGCCACUCAUCACUUCUCACCCAACAUUCAUC